ensembl:misc_RNA
CGCGGUGUAGCCCCAAUUCGGACAAUCUCUGCAGCCGGUCACAAGCCCCAAAGAGAAGCGGUGGCGCCCGCCAAAUAGGAGGAGAGCUCCGCCAGCCGUGC